UUCUCUCCCUCAAAAUGGCUCAGAUACUCAAGAAUUUGUUGGAAGGAAACCGGGGGGUUUUGUAAGAGCUCUCCCCUAAAAAUGUUAAACAGCAAACACAUAAGAGUGACAAGUGAUUAGAUGUGACAUUUGAGACCACAAUGAUGAAGCAACCAUGAGAAGACAAUGAUGAUGAAAUCAAUAGCUAAUACGUAUUGAAUGCUAUUGAGAGGCCAGGCACUGUUGUAAACACUUUGCACCAAUUAAUACAUUUAAUCUUCAUAAUAAUGCUGUGAGAUAGCUUUAUUACCAUUUUACAGAUGGAGAAACUGAGGCGUGACACAGUGAAAUAGUUUGUCCAAGGUCACACAAAGCCAGUAUACAGGCAACUUGGAUUUAAACCCAGAUAACAUGACUCCAAAGCUUAAUGCUCUUCACACACACACACCUUGGGGCUCUUAAAGGAUAUGGAGUGUUUCUUAUCUAUUAGGCUCACAGUGGAUGCUCAAGAAAUGGUUAAUAGGUAUAACUGAGGAAACAAUGUCAGUGACAUCAUAACAUCAUUAUGACAUCAGCCAAACCUUCUAUCAUAGCAAAGUAAGUCUCUUAGUGCUUUCUUAAAACCAUCUUCAUUUAAAAAGAUGGCCUUCUUUUUCCUAGUUCUGUAUUGUAAAGGCACUUUAAAUCCAGAAAUGUAAAGCAUUAUCACAUGUAUGCUCAUGCUUUUUAAAUGACAAAGCACAGGUAUUUCGAUGAAUCCUCUCAUAACAAAAUGACAUAGUAGCAGUAAACUACGUGUAGUGGAAACAAAAUCUGGGCAUUAUUGGGCUACUUCAUCUUUGUGGUACCAGUUGCUUGGGAGAGCAGAGAAAGGACACAGAAUGGGAGAAAAGAAAGCUACUCUCAUUAUCCCAUAAGUAUAUAUGUGGAAGCCAGUCUAUCCAUACUUACAACUGUUUGAUACCACGUCAUGCUUCCUUAAGCAUGACGUUGUUCUUCUGGUGUUGUUCUUCUGUCCAGGCUGCAAAGCAGUGGUGUGAUGACAGCUCACUGUGACCUUAAAACUCCUGUAAUCAAGCAGUCCCUCCCCACUCAGCCUCCUGAAUAGCUAGGACUGCAGGUGUGUGCCUACAACUGGGUAAUUUUUUUUUUUUUUUAAACAGAGUUUUGCUAUGUUGCCCAGGCUGGUCUUGAACUCCUGGCCUCAAGCAAUCCUCCUGCCUCUGCCUCCCAAAGUACAGACAUGAGCCACUACACCUGGCCCUUCCUUAAUUAUAAAUCUUCCAAAGAUCCUUCAGUGUUCCACAGAAUUUCAAUACAAAUUUCAUGAUUAAAAAGAAAUCAAAUGAAAGAUAAAAUCCCUGCAAACUAGUAAAAAUUUACCACCCCAUUCCAAACCUACUUUCUCUUGCAAAUUGUUAUUGGAAUAUGCCUCUGUGCUUUGGCUUUCAGUUAAGGUAGCACAUAUAUCAGAGGAGAUAUAUUUUGUUGCAAGUCAGAAACCUUAUCACUCAUUCCACACCAGAAUUAUAUCUGUAAUGUUCCUUUUUAAAACAACAACAUAUCUUACUACUCUCACCUGAGAUAAAGAACAAAAUCUGAAGCACAAUCCAUAUCACAGCCCUUCACUUGCAUCAGUGUCCAUACACUCCAAAUCAAAUUGAUCUGUAUUACCUUUUUAAUCACAAGAUAGGAUUCUAAUCACAGGGCCAGUGAGACUGUUCCAUUUCUUAUCUAGAAGUUAGAAUAUCUGAAGCCAUCCUCCCUCCUUACAAACCAUAAUUGUCUGUCAAGGCUCAGUGCAGAGAACAAAAACUCUCUUAACUAUUUCAAGGCAUAUAUUGCUGUAAAUUAGUGCUUUCAAAAUUGGUAGGUAGGCUGUAAAAGUAAUGAGAACACUUCUGGACUAGUGACUUCAACGUAAACUCCCAUAACUAUGAUCCAGGGAUAGAGAAAUAAUGGUUGCUGAAACCAAUGAUGCUACCAGCAGUACUACCUCAAAGCCACAGAAUCUGAAACUAGACAUGGGAACAUGGAGUCCAGCUGCAGCAAGUAUGACAGAACUCAACUGUCCACUUUACCUACAAUAACACCCAGUACACUACAUACACACACGCAAAGGCACAAGCAGGGAUGCACACAGCUACAUGAGUAGUACUCAUUACAUAAUUAGUGUUCAUCAUUUAGGAUUCAUUUCAAAAAUCACAUCCAGGUAAGCCUGCUCUGAUCUCUUAUAGUAUGUUGUUUCUUGGUUAUGUCCUCAUAGCACUUGUAAACAAUUAUUUCUAAUUUACUUGCUAUCCAUCUUUCUUGUCAGAUAACAUCCCUGUGAGAAAAAGAUCACAUUUGUUUUGUUCAUUAUUACAAUGGUUAUCAAUAUGUGCUUUCUGGACGGUGAGAACACAUGAAAAAUGCAAAUUCAAAUCAACUCAUACAGAAACUCUAUAAGAUUCAGACUUAGCAAUCUGUGCUUUAAUAAACCCUCCUAGUGAUUUUGACACACCACUAAGCUCAGAACUACUGGAUUCCUGUAUCCCAUCCCUGUGUAAUACACGAGUGAUGCUCAGUAAAUUUUCUUGGAAUGUAUUUAAUUAAGCCUACUGGAAACUGACUGAAUAAUCCUCAUCAAAAUACUGCUAUUCUUAGUACAAAGAGCAGGUGAUUUUUCUCUAGGUUUGCUAGUCUCCAACUAAAGGCUAUGCUAAGGCUAAUCUUAGUGAAAUUUUUUUACAAGAAAUAGUCACAGUAAAAGAGUUUGUGAUAUACAAAAUGAUUUUAUUAGAUGCCAAAACUUUUAUUAACAUCACUAUUUCUUUUGCAGCUUUAAUUUUCAACAUUAUAACACUUACUGGCUCCUCUGGGUGACUAAAUAUCUUCACAUGUCCACUAGCUAAAAAGAAUUUCUAAGUAUAACUCAACUGAAACUGCAAGCUACUGCUCUAAGAAAUGCAUAUUUUAUUAUGUUUAUUUGCUCUCCUGUAGAAUCCAGUUUACAAAUAGCAUGACUGCAAAGAUUUACACAUAAUUCCUAAAUCCUUCAGGUUGUUCUACCAUUAAUCUUCUGAUGUGUAGCAAGAUAAACACUCUUAGUGAACACUUUGCUACAUCUCUUAAAUGAGAUUUCUCUCUAUUUUGAGUUCUCUGCUGUAGAAUAAGGGAUACACUUGGAACUGAAGACUUCCCUCAAUUUCUAAAUUUUCUACAUUCAUACAGCUUCUCUCCUGUAGGAGUUUGUAAAAGAUUCCUAUUGCCUACUCUUUCCCACAUUUGCUACAUGUACAGGGUUUUUUUCCUAGUGUGAGUACACUUAUGCCAAUUAAGGGAUUAAUACUGACAAAGAUUUUCCCACAUGUAUGGUCUUCAUAUGAUUUCCCUACAGUAUAACGUCUGAUAAACAAACAGGCCUA